GUACGGAGGGUGCAAGCGUUGUUCGGAAUUACUGGGCGUAAAGCGCGUGUAGGCGGCCUUGCAAGUCAGAUGUGAAAGCCCUCGGCUUAACCGGGGAAGUGCAUCUGAAACUGCUUGGCUUGAGUACGGGAGAGGGAGGCGGAAUUCCCAGUGUAGAGGUGAAAUUCGUAGAUAUUGGGAGGAACACCGGUGGCGAAAGCGGCCUCCUGGACCGAUACUGACGCUGAGACGCGAGAGCGUGGGGAGCAAACAGGAUUAGAUACCCUGGUAGUCCACGCUGUAAACGAUGGGCACUAGGUGUGGGGGGUAUCCACUCCUCCCGUGCCGAAGCUAACGCAUUAAGUGCCCCGCCUGGGGAGUACGGCCGCAAGGUUAAA
rnacentral:rRNA from 1 species